GAUUAACGCUGGCGGCGUGCCUAAUGCAUGCAAGCCGAACGGCUCGAUUUAUCGAGCAGUGGCAAACGGGUGAGUAACACGUAAGAACCUACCCUCAAGUGGGGGAUAACCCCGAGAAAUCGGGGCUAAUACCGCAUACGCUCUCUGAUUCUGUCAGGGAGGAAAGUUGAGGCGCUUGAGGACGGGCUUGCGUCCGAUUAGCUUGUUGGUGAGGUAAUGGCUCACCAAGGCUGAGAUCGGUAGCUGGUCUUAGAGGAUGAUCAGCCACACUGGGACUGAGAUACGGCCCAGACUCCUACGGGAGGCAGCAGCAGGGAAUAUUGCGCAAUGGGUGAAAGCCUGACGCAGCAACGCCGCGUGGGGGAUGAAGGCCCUCGGGUCGUAAACCCCUUUUCUCAGGGAAGAUAAUGACGGU
rnacentral:rRNA from 1 species